rnacentral:rRNA from 1 species
UACGGGGGGGGGCAAGCGUUGUUCGGAAUCACUGGGCGUAAAGGGCGUGUAGGCGGUCCGCUAAGUCUGAUGUGAAAGCCCGGGGCUCACCCCCCGGAAGUGCAUUGGAAACUGGCGGACUCGGGUCCCGGAGAGGAGGGUGGAAUUCCUGGUGUAGCGGUGAAAUGCGUAGAUAUCAGGAGGAACACCGGUGGCGAAGGCGGCCCUCUGGACGGUGACUGACGCUGAGACGCGAAAGCGUGGGGAGCAAACAGG